rnacentral:rRNA from 1 species
AUUGAACGCUGGCGGCAGGCCUAACACAUGCAAGUCGAGCGAGAAAGCCUUCGGGUGAGUAUAGCGGCGGACGGGUGAGUAACGCGUGGGAAUCUACCAAGUAGUGGGGGACAACAGUUGGAAACGACUGCUAAUACCGCAUACGCCCUAAGGGGGAAAGCGGGGGAUCUCCGGACCUCGUGCUAUUUGAUGAGCCCGCGUAAGAUUAGCUAGUUGGUGGGGUAAAGGCCUACCAAGGCGACGAUCUUUAGCUGGUCUGAGAGGAUGAUCAGCCACACUGGGACUGAGACACGGCCCAG